UCUCUUCUCACCAAAAAAUAAAAAAACAUAUCGCAAAAAGAAGCCUCUGCCGUUCCUUUCUCUUCUCUAUUUCUCUAUCGUCUCCUUCCCCAAAACCCAACACUGAAAAUCAAUCCUGCCAAGAAGUCAUCCCCACAUGGUUAGGUCUGAGAUAGAAAGAAGGCAUCACCAACCAUAUGGUUUGGUCCUUCGGAGAGUUUUUCCAGAAGCGAAGGUGACGAUGGGACCGCAACAGAGCUUGAAGAGAAAAUCAAAUCAGGCACCGCCACUGCUGGUGUUUGAUGAAAUUUCCUAUGAGUUCUAGAAGCCAUAAUACAUGGAGAGUUGUAAGGAGGAAGAUAGGUAAGAAAUGUGAUGCUCUAUUGUUGAUUUAAUCAAGAUUGCUUGCAGCCUUGCAAUGUUGUUGACUACAAGUAUUCUCUACAUGGGCUGCCAGUGGAUUCUGAUGAGUACCUUCAGAGGUAUGAAAGGUUUGAUUUAGCAUCAACAAAAAGUAGAUAACUCAAUUCAAUUAUGAUCCUGCUUUCAUGGAGGAAAUGAGGACAAGAAGACAAACAUCUCAUGAGUUUCACAUACACAGUUGCAGAACCAGUUCAUAAACCAUAGAAAUAUGGACUAUGUAAAUUGACAAAUGUCUAUGUACAAUGAUAGAUUUGCUUAUUCAACUUGUGGUGGUGUUCAUAAAGUAACAUUCAACUAGCAUUAAUAACACCUACUCUUCUAUGUUUAUGAAA